rnacentral:rRNA from 1 species
UACAGAGGUCCCAAGCGUUGUUCGGAUUCAUUGGGCGUAAAGGGUGCGUAGGCGGGAUGGCAAGUCGGUCGUGAAAUCCUUCGGCUCAACCGAAGAACGUCGAUCGAUACUGCUGUUCUUGAGGGUUGCAGAGGAGACUGGAAUUUACGGUGUAGCGGUGAAAUGCGUAGAUAUCGUAAGGAAGACCAGUGGCGAAGGCGGGUCUCUGGACAGUUCCUGACGCUGAGGCACGAAGGUCAGGGGAGCAAACGGG